AAUUAGAACAUUGGCUGCGACGACAGAGACUGAAGCGCAGCUGGAGUGGUAAAAUGGCAGACGAGCAGCUGCAGUGGCUCCAUGCGGUGCUACAGGGGGAGGGGAAGGUGGUUUCUCCUGACACAAGCUGGAGGCCGGAGCCUGUGGCACCCUGGCUCGCCUCACUGAAGCUGGUGGCUGUGACAGGGACUGCACGGCUGCCGGAGUGGUAGAAAGGCAGCCAUGGUAGGAGCCGCAGCCCCAGUGGGCCCAACGGUUCCUGUGGGUGGGGAGCCAGCCACCGUGGAGUCUCCAGUUCACUGAAACCUGUCACUGCCACCCAGUGGCCACCAUGACAAGUCGAAGAACUUAAUGCUCCCUGAAUCCAAAUAUUAAGGUUAAGAAAAGAAAGGAAAUGUUUGCAGAGAAAGUAUGUUUUACAAGUGAAUUAAAGAUGGAUUCAUAGUGGUUUAUAGAUUUACCUAGAGUUUUGAGUUCAGGAAGCCAUAAUUCUUUAGAAGGCAGUGACAGAACAGUACCAGCAGAAAUUGAAGGACCAGCAGAAGGGAUCAUGGCCAAAGUUGCAGUGUCCCCCCGCUCGUUGAAGAUGAGGAGUUCUCAGAGAGCGGGAUGGUUGUGACAUUCCUCAUGUCAGCUCUCGAGUCCAUGAGUCUCACUCGGUCGUCCAGGCUGGAGUGCAGUGGCACCAUCUUGGCUCGUUGCAACAUCUGGCUCCCAGUACAGACUGGGUUUCACCAUGCCAACCAUGCUGAUCGUGAGCUCCUCACCUCAGGUGAUCCACACACCUCAGCCUCCUAAAGUGCUGGGAUUAUAGGCGUCAGCCACCGCUUCUGGCCUAGAUCAUCAACAUAUCACUAUGAUACUAAAAUUCCCUCUCCCAAAGAAAAUCUUGCCAUUUUGUGACAUGAGUCGUAUAAAGAUGUAUGUUUAUAUGCACUGAACCUGUGCACCUAGAGUUCCACCCUGCUCAUGCUAACAUUGUUCUCCCUCCCUGUACCUAGUUCUUAAAAACUCCAUGCCUUCCAUUUUUCAGGGAAAGGGUGUCUUUAGAGCAAGAACUCUUUUCUUCUCCAUCCCAGGCAGGAAAGAAAACCCACUUGGCCUUGUUUCUGAUUGGGUUUUCUUGCUUUGCGACUAAUACAAAGCAGGAAAAAACCUCCCUUUAUCAGUGAUAAAGACAAGUAAGAUUAUUAUUUACCCACCUAUUCUAGCUAAGGGUCAUGGGUGGCCGGAGUCUCUCCUAGCAACUCAGGGCGCUAGGCAGAACCAGCCCUGGAUCUGGAAUAGGGUGCCAUCAUAUGGCAGAGUGUACAUACACACACACACACACACACACACACACACACACAGAGCUCAAAUGGGGACUAUUUAGAAAUGAUAGUUCACAUAAUGGGCACAUCUUUGAGAUGUGGGAGGAAACUGGGAGUACCCAGUGAAAACCCAUGUGGACCUGGGGAGAAUGUGUAAAGGACACACAGGAAGUGGCCAGCUGGGAGUUGAUUGUUUUUUCUUAUCAACAUUACAAUGAAAGGGUACUGAGCGAAAUGACAUUAUUCAAGUACCUGCUGUAAUAGUCAGACUCCUUCAUACAAAAUUCAAAGCCCUCUACACUCGGGCACUACAUUAGACUUCCAUCCUACACCUACAUUCUAGCCACUGUACUACACAUCAUUUACCAAAGGUGCUGUAUACUUCUGUGCUACCAAACAUUUGCCAGUCUGGUUCCCUCUGCAUUUCAAGAUUACACACCCCUCAUAAUCCUGCAAAGCCUUUCCUAUCAAUUUUUCUGUGAAGCUUUUCAGAAUCCACCACCACUCCCACCAUCACCCCAACUCCCUGAGAGGGCAGAUCUCUCUCUCCGUUUGGCAGCCACUUUUAUUAAAACAUUUUUCACUGAUACUAUGAGUCUGCCUUCUCCUUUGGGAAACUUUCUCAGACUCCUAUACCCAGAGUUAAGCACUCCAUAUUUUCCUACCUUGGUCCCUGGUAUGUAAUUCUACUCCAGCAUAGAAUAGAGAAGCCAGAAUCAUCUUUCUGUAAAAUUCUAUCUUCUGUUAGACCCUGUGUCCCUUGAGGAUAUCAUUCAUCAUUGUUUCCCCAGGGCCUUGCACACCUUACUCUGGGCCUCCAGCUUAGCCUGUUUCUAUGCAGGCUGCCCAUGGCUGAUGCCAACCAGUCCUGUCCCUCUAUAUCCAAGCACCAGACUUCCUUACUGACCCUUUGCAAUUUCAGACCCUCCAUCACCCUCCUGUAUCCUGCUGGAGAUUUUGGAGCAUCUCAGCAUCUCUGGGGCAGCUCGUGGGCAUCAGGGAGGGGCAGGCAACAAAGCCCACAUAGACUCUUACAGGUAUCUCAGGAUCUCCCAGUGGGAUCCUCUUUUCCCCAGCCCAUUCCUUAAAAUUCUGCUGACUCCCCUACUUCUUCCUCCAGCUCAGCACUUAGCUGGAGUUGCCCCAAAGGUGAUCACAGAGGAAUUUUCACAAGGGACUGUUCCAGACUGUCUGAGAUGAAGGGGGUUAGGAUUCCAAAGAAGUAAACUCUAAACCCUGAUAUGAUGAGCCCAAAGCAUUUCUUAAGGAAUGUACACACAGUGAGGGCUGCAGCUCAUCUUAUUGGGAGGAAAGGAGACCAAGGAUGCUUUGUCUAGGUAUCUUUGCAGUGAGGGGUCUGGUUAUGCAGUUUAUAGGAGAGUUUAAGGAAUCUCCCAGGACCAGGGAUACUUUCUUUUAGUGUUUUGAAUUACAACCUAAACACAACACCUUUACUUAUGUCUGCGAAUGUUCAGAGCCCUGACUUGGGUUCAAGUCUGCAGGGGAAAGCAUGCAGGUAUCCGGGCCACAGAAUAACAGAGCAGUCAAGCGUCUGUGUAUUCUUGGUCAGAACAGAUGGAAAAUGUGAAGAAACUGUGGAAUUGUACUCUAUCCUUUCUAGUAAGACUUGAUAUUAGGAAGUAUAAGUCAUGUGAUUCUGUUUUUCUUUUUAAAAACUGUUUUGUGAAAUUUGAUUUUCUGUACAUACAUAUUGAUUUAAGGGAGUGAGAGACUUUCUAAUUUCUAAAAAAAUAUACUUGGAAAUUUGAAGGGAUUAUAUUGAAUCUGCAAAUCAAUUUAUAGGGUAUUGUUAUCCUAAGAAUAUUAAGUAUUUAAAAAAUUAUUGUAGGUAUACGUAUGUAUGGGGUACAUGGGAUGUUUUGAUAUAGGCAUACAAUGCAUAAUAAUCACUCAUAUCCUGGAGGGUAGGGUAUCCAUCCCCUCAAACAUGUAACCUUUGCCUUACAAACAGUCCAUCCUUGAACAUAAAAUGACUUCCAGUUAUUUUUCAGUUUAUCUUUGAUUUCUUUCAGUGUUACAAAUUGUGUAAAAUUCCUGUAUCUGUCUUGAAUUUUUUCUCUUAAUGUUUUUUAUUGAUGCCAUUAUAAAUGGAAUUGUUUUCUUUAUUUUAUUUUUAAUUGUUGGUUGCUUUUAUAUAAACCAUAAUCUACUUUGGCAUGCCAGUUUUCUGUCUUGUAACACGGAUAAAUUUGUGUAUUAGUUCUACUGAUAGUGAAUCUCUUUUUUUUUUUGCUUUAUAAAAACAGUAAAAGAAGCUUAUUCAA